rnacentral:rRNA from 1 species
GUUUAAAUAAGUGUUUAAUGCUACACACACACACACACACACACACAGUGAUAUUAAAUAUCUCUUAUGCAACUGCAGACAGCUGCUUAAUACAGUCACACUUGUCUUGACUUGGCACACACACGCAAGACGCUUGUAUAUAAUGACACACACAGAUUUCACUGUGAUCCAUUAUUUUAAUGGAUAACUCAGGGAAAGUUUGGCUAAUACGUACGAGUACACUACGAGAGUAGCACACACACACACAUAUGUGUUGCUCUCAUAUAUAUUUAUGUCAUAUGCACACACACACACACACACGCAUACUGACAUAUAUAAUACUCAGCACUUAUUGGAUGUGUAACACACACACACACACGCAUCAUGAGAGACAAUAAGCACGCACACACACAAUUUAAUUGUGUGAUACGCUGAGCAGACUUUACAUAUAUCAUAUACGUGAAGCAUGUCAUACAAGCAUCUAUAGCAUCAAGUCACAGGGGUGGCAAGUGUAUUUUUGAACCUUCAAAGCAGUCACGCAUACGGAAGAGUAGUUUCUGAUCCCAUAGAAGGAGCACCGUACAAUGAGAGAUCGCUCUUAGUUCUAAGGAACGCAGCAUGCGCGNAAAUUGCCCAAUGUUCACACAUACGAUGGGUUUCAUAUUUACACAAAUAUAUGAAGCAUUAACACACAUGACUGUCAUAACAUAUAUCCUUGUUCACAUGUAUUCAUUUUUUUUAAUGAGGCAGUGACAAGCUGUAACGGUUGAGUAUUUAAAUAGACAAGUGUCUGGCAUUGCCGCCUUGCGUUCACGCGUAAGGCUUGGCAUUUCGCCGACGCUUCGUGUGCUCAAUUGGACUGCGGUGAGUCCAAUACACUCAGAACCUUUAUAUUUUGGUAUACACAUAUUGUGUAUCAAUAUAAGUAUCUGAAUUUUUUCAAGUGGAGGGCAAGUCUGGUGCCAGCAGCCGCGGUAAUACCAGCUCCACUGGCCUAUACAAUCAUUGUUGCGGUUAAGAGGCUCGUAGUUGGAUUGGACUAUUAUAUCAUAUGAUUAUACACACACACACACACAGUCAUUAUAUGAUAGUAUCCCACUAUAUCAUUUAUGAUAUAUUUGGGUCGACUAUUUUUUUACUGCUGUAAAAAAAUAUUACGCAUACACACACACACACUUUCAACACUGUGAACAAAUCAGAGUGUAUCAAACAUGUAUUUUUUUUGAAUGCGCAUUGAAUGUCUUAUCAUGGAAUGUUGCACUUCAUAUAUAAAAAUUCACACACGCACACACAACAUAAACCCUGAUUACACACACACAACCCAUGUGUACUGCGAAAAAUAAAUUUUUUAUAUGCAUAUAUAAAUACGUCGAUGGAGAUAGUUGGAGUCAAGAGUACUGCAGGGCGAGCGGUGAAAUGCGUUGACCCUUGCAAGACUACCAGAAGCGAAAGCGCUUGGCUAGGCUAUUCUCUUUGUGAAUGUAUAUGUGUCUUGUCACACACACACACACACACACACAGGUUAUGCUGACACUAAACAACGAAGAACGAAGGUUGGGGGAUCAAAGAGGAUCAGAUACCCUCGUCGUCCCAUUUGUUACAUCAAACGAUGGGCUCUCAAUUGCAUAUUUUAUAUGUGAGAGAGUAUCACACUGUCCCCGACCUACAAAAUACUUUGUGACUUGAGCUUGCAAUACAUCACUGUGUUGCGCUCGUCAUACAUAUUUACGUACGGUCUCGAUAGACGUUGAUAUGAAUAUUCACUAUUCAUUUGCGUGUAAGUUUUAUGCUAUACUAUAUUAUAUGGUAUGCAUAGCGUGCACCUGAUUUUCGGAGCUUUGCGCUCAAAAAUUUAAAACUGGUGAGAUGUAAGCAUAGCGCGUUGUAUCGCUGUGUAUUCAUUGUGAAUACAUCAGCAUCCACAUAUUAUAUGUGAUGCACGUUUUAGGCACGCGCUUACUGCAGAAAUGUCUGAGACAUAUUCCCCUCCGGGGGUAGUAUGCACGCAAGUGUGAAACUUGAAGGAAUUGACGGAAGGGCACCACAAGAACGCGUGGAGCAUGUGGCUUAAUUUGACUCAACGCGAGAAAUCUUACCGGGUCCGGACACACUGAGGAUUGACAGGUGUCACACACAUUAUUCAUUAAUGUGUGUGUAUAAAUAUGCUAGUCCUUUCAUGAUUAUGUGAUAGGUGGUGCAUGGCCGUUCUUAGUUCGUGGAGUGAUCUGUCUGCUUAAUUGCGUAUCACUAAACGUGUAAUUUUAUACAUAUGUAAUAUGCAGUGUCUAUAUACAUUUUUAAUGUAUAAUGACCUCAUAUUUCACAUAUUAUACACGUUGAUAGCAACGAACGUGACCGUAACCUCUUGUUGCCUGGCUCGAAGACUCGUCUCAGUAUAAAUAUACUCGGUAUUUAUACUGUGGAGACCAGAUGCAAACUAGAGGGACCGCUGUAUUCUUUCUUAAACCAGGGGAAGGUUACGGCAAUAACAGGUCUGUGAUGCCCUUAGAUGUUCCGGGCCGCACACGUGCUACAAUGAUUAUUGCAGUGAGCAUCUCGAUCUGACAAAUUGUGUGUAUGCGUUACAUAUAUUUUAUAUAUAUGCACUGUCUAACACACAAUACUGCCUGCUUCGAAAGUUCGCGGGUAAUCAAUUAACAACAAUGAUUUCCAUUUAUAUAGCACACAUAUAUGUGAUUAUAUUAUCCACAUACAUCUUCAGUGUGUAUGUCGUGCAUAAUAUAAUUUUUUCACAUGUGCAAUUGUCAAUUCAUGGUGGGGACAGACUAUUGUUAAUUAUUAGUCUCGGUCUUAACUAGGAAUGCCUUGUACUGGUUUAGUUCAUCAGACUACCAGGAAUACGUCCCUGCCCUUUGUACACACCGCCCGUCGCUCUUACCGAUGAACUAUACUGUGAGUAUAUUGGACUGCGUGUAUUCUUGCGGAAAAAUACACGAA